rnacentral:rRNA from 1 species
UGGGGGAUAUUGCACAAUGGGCGAAAGCCUGAUGCAGCGACGCCGCGUGGGGGAUGAAGGCCUUCGUGUUGUAAACUUCUUUUGCUCUGAACAAGGCAUGCCUUUGGGGUGUGUUGAGUGUAGGGGUUGAUUAGCGCCGGCUAACUACGUGCCAGCAGCCGCGGUAAUACGUAGGGCGCGAGCGUUGUCCGGAAUUAUUGGGCGUAAAGGGCUUGUAGGUGGCUGGUUGCGUCUGUCGUGAAAGCUCAUGGCUUAACUGUGGGUUUGCGGUGGGUACGGGCUGGCUUGAGUGCAGUAGGGGGGGGUGGAAUUCCUGGUGUAGCGGUGGAAUGCGCGGAUAUCAGGAGGAAUACCGGUGGCGAAGGCGGGUCUCUGGGCUGUUACUGACGCGGAGGGGCGAAAGCGUGGGGAGAGAACAGG